GUUUAGGUAGCUUAAUUAAAGCGUGAUAUUGAAGAUAUCAAGAUAAGAUUAUCUUCCUAAACA
rnacentral:tRNA from 1 species